GAUGAACGCUGGCGGCGUGCCUAAUACAUGCAAGUCGAGCGAACAGACGAGGAGCUUGCUCCUCUGACGUUAGCGGCGGACGGGUGAGUAACACGUGGAUAACCUACCUAUAAGACUGGGAUAACUUCGGGAAACCGGAGCUAAUACCGGAUAACAUGUUGAACCGCAUGGUUUAACAGUGAAAGACGGUCUUGCUGUCACUUAUAGAUGGAUCCGCGCCGCAUUAGCUAGUUGGUAAGGUAACGGCUUACCAAGGCAACGAUGCGUAGCCGACCUGAGAGGGUGAUCGGCCACACUGGAACUGAGACACGGUCCAGACUCCUGCGGGAGGCAGCAGUAGGGAAUCUUCCGCAAUGGGCGAAAGCCUGACGGAGCAACGCCGCGUGAGUGAAGAAGGUCUUCGGAUCGUAAAACUCUGUUAUUAGGGAAGAACAAAUGUGUAAGUAACUAUGCACGUCUUGACGGUACCUAACCAGAAAGCCACGGCUAACUACGUG
rnacentral:rRNA from 1 species